UAACACAUGCAAGUCGAGCGGUAGAGAGGUGCUUGCACCUCUUGAGAGCGGCGGACGGGUGAGUAAUACCUAGGAAUCUGCCUGGUAGUGGGGGAUAACGUUCGGAAACGGACGCUAAUACCGCAUACGUCCUACGGGAGAAAGCAGGGGACCUUCGGGCCUUGCGCUAUCAGAUGAGCCUAGGUCGGAUUAGCUAGUUGGUGAGGUAAUGGCUCACCAAGGCUACGAUCCGUAACUGGUCUGAGAGGAUGAUCAGUCACACUGGAACUGAGACACGGUCCAGACUCCUACGGGAGGCAGCAGUGGGGAAUAUUGGACAAUGGGCGAAAGCCUGAUCCAGCCAUGCCGCGUGUGUGAAGAAGGUCUUCGGAUUGUAAAGCACUUUAAGUUGGGAGGAAGGGCAUUAACCUAAUACGUUAGUGUCUUGACGUUACCGACAGAAUAAGCACCGGCUAACUCUGUGCCAGCAGCCGCGGUAAUACAGAGGGUGCAAGCGUUAAUCGGAAUUACUGGGCGUAAAGCGCGCGUAGGUGGUUUGUUAAGUUGAAUGUGAAAUCCCCGGGCUCAACCUGGGAACUGCAUCCAAAACUG
rnacentral:rRNA from 1 species